UUUUAAUGAUUAUUAUUUGUGCUGAAUUUCUUGAAAUAUUCAUCUUUCGAAUGAAUAAU
rnacentral:snoRNA from 1 species